rnacentral:lncRNA from 1 species
AAACGGGCUGUCCGCGCCAGCGCGGGUCCCUCUUUGAAGGAUCGCAGGACCCGAAUCUGAGCCCGGCUGACCCGGACCUGCCCGCCUCGCCCUCCCACGUCAGGAGUCCGGAAAAGUCUCCGCGACUCGGGAUUCGAAGUGAGGCACAAUGAAAGUUCGAGGGUGGCCCACUUUCCAGUCCGUCUCCCGUCUCUCUCAGGCAGAAGCAUCCUCUGUCAAUAAACAUCCAUUAACGUUCCUGUGGGUGAAGAAAAUAUUAUUCUUUGGUCUCUGCUACUUCUGGCACCAACAUAGAGUCACUGAGACACCUCACUUGCUUCUGGACCUGCAAAUGCAAUCCGGGGACAUUUAACAAAAAAGCCAGCAAAAGGUAAAAAUAAUUCCACAAUCAGCUCUCCAGGAUUUCUCUCUGUAGUGUUUUUUAGUUUAAAUGAUAAAAUAUUUUUCCUCGUCCCUGUGUUUAUAAAUUCGUAUUCGCAUCAAGAGUGUUGGCACACACCUGUAAGCCCAGCACUUGAGAGGCUGAGACAGGACUGCUAUGAAUUUGAGGCCUAGCACACACUCUACCAGUGAACUACACCCCCAGCAAAGAAAUCCCAGUUGCCACAUGCACCAUCAAGGAAGUUUAAGAAUAGAUUCCUUUUGCAAAAACAGAGAAAAAAAGACCCC